rnacentral:rRNA from 1 species
CCUACGGGGGGCAGCAGUGGGGAAUAUUGGGCAAUGGGCGCAAGCCUGACCCAGCAACGCCGCGUGAAGGAAGAAGCCCCUCGGGUUGUAAACUUCUUUUGUCAGGGACGAAGAAAGUGACAGUACCUGACGAAUAAGCCACGGCUAACUACGUGCCAGCAGCCGCGGUACUACGUAGGUGGCAAGCGUUAUCCGGAUGUACUGGGUGUAAAGGGCGUGUAGGCGGGACGGCAAGUCAGAUGUGAAAUUCCAGGGCUCAACCCUGGAAUUGCAUUUGAAACUGUAGUUCUUGAGUGAUGGAGAGGUAGGCGGAAUGCAGGGUGUAGCGGUGAAAUGCGUAGAUAUACGGAGGAACACCAGUGGCGAAGGCAGCCUGCUGGGCAUUAACUGACGCUGAGGCGCGAAAGCGUGGGGAGCAAACAGGAUUAGAUACCCGUGUAGUC